CGCAUCUGUGCAUGCAGCAUAUAAUAAGCGGAGGAAAAGAAACUAACAAGGAUUCCCCUAGUAACGGCGAGUGAAGCGGGAAGAGCUCAAAUUUGAAAUCUUAAAGGGUUUCCCUUUACGAAUUGUAGUUUAAAGAAGUGUUUUCUGUUGAGGUUUUGGUAAAAGUUCUUUGGAAUAGGACAUCAUAGAGGGUGAGAAUCCCGUAUUUGACCUUUACUUUCAACUUUGUGAUACACUUUCAAAGAGUCGGAUUGUUUGGGAAUGCAGUCCAAAAUGGGUGGUAAAUUUCAUCUAAAGCUAAAUAUUGGCGAGAGACCGAUAGCGAACAAGUACCGUGAGGGAAAGAUGGAAAGAACUUUGAAAAGAGAGUUAAACAGUACGUGAAAUUGUCAAAAGGGAAGCGUUUGACACCAGUGUUGUUUUUCUGAAAAUCAAUUAAAGAACUGUUUAUGCUAAGCUGUUUAGACUUUAUCAGCUAUCUGUUUAGUUUUGAGCUUUCCUUUAAUGCACUUUUCAGUUAACAAGUCAACAUCAAUUUCUUUUGCUGUAAAAAAGCUUGAGGAAGGUGGCUUGAGAUUCGUCUUAAGUGUUUAUAGCCUCUUGCCUAUGCAGUCGGAGAGAUUGAGGUCUGCAGCGUAGAUCCUUCGGGGCUAAAUGCAUUUGUGCUAAGUUAUAGCAUUUUAUAGACAACUUGUUGACUAUGAUUUGUCUUGUAGCUUACUCGCUUAUGCUAUUUUACCUACGCUUAGGAUGUUGAUCUGUAGUGCGUGCGC
rnacentral:rRNA from 1 species